rnacentral:rRNA from 1 species
GAUGAACGCUAGCGGCAGGCCUAAUACAUGCAAGUCAAGGGGAUAGCAAUAUCACCGGCGGACGGGUGCGUAACGCGUACACAACGUGCCCAAGGGCGGAGGAAAGCGGCGGGAAACUGCCGGUAAUACUCCAUGGUGUUGUUGGGUGGCAUCACUUAACAACUAAAGUACAAGCGCCCUUGGAUCGGUGUGCGUUCGAUUAGCUAGUUGGCGGGGUAACGGCCCACCAAGGCUUCGAUCGAUAGGGGGUGUGAGAGCAUGACCCCCCACACGGGUACUGAGACACGGACCCGACUCCUACGGGAGGCAGCAGUAAGGAAUAUUGGACAAUGGGCGGGAAGCCUGAUCCAGCCAUGCCGCGUGAAGGACGAAGGCGCUCAGCGUUGUAAACUUCUUUUGGAUGGGAACAAUAACUCCGACUUGUCGGAACUUGAGGGUACCAUCAGAAUAAGCACCGGCUAACUCCGUG